rnacentral:tRNA from 1 species
GCUGACGUAGCUCAGUUGGUAGAGCACAUCACUCGUAAUGAUGGGGUCACCAGUUCGACUCUGGUCGUCAGCU